rnacentral:rRNA from 1 species
GGUUGACCUCGGAUCAGGUAGGAAUACCCGCUAAACUUAA